rnacentral:lncRNA from 1 species
CUCCAUUCUAUUCUAGCGACAUUGUGCUGAAAGGUUAUGGAUUUGGUUGAUGCACAUGCACAUGCACAUGCUAGUGUUGGAGUUCGUUGCAAGCUGCCAAGCUGGUCCUCGCAACAGGAACCUGCAAGAUGGUCCUGCUGGAGCUCCUCACGGUCACGGGGAUGCGAAGAGGACCGGCUCGGCUGUCCUCGCGCCGCAGCUCACGC